rnacentral:rRNA from 1 species
GACAGAGGGUGCAAACGUUGCUCGGAAUUACUGGGCGUAAAGCGUGCGCAGGCGGUCUGUUAAGACCGAUGUGAAAUCCCCGGGCUUAACCUGGGAACUGCAUUGGUGACUGGCAGGCUUUGAGUGUGGCAGAGGGAAGUAGAAUUCCACGUGUAGCAGUGAAAUGCGUAGAGAUGUGGAGGAAUACCGAUGGCGAAGGCAGCCUCCUGGGCCAACACUGACGCUCAUGCACGAAAGCGUGGGGAGCAAACAGG